CGCCAGCGCAUGCAGGACUGCCAGCGGGAGCUCCAGAGCCUGCUGCGCCUGGCCGGAGCAACCCUCCUCAUCUUUGCUAAUAAGCAGGACCUGCCUGGAGCACUGUCCUCUAACGCCAUCCGCGAGGUCCUGGAGCUGGACUCCAUCCGCAGCCACCACUGGUGCAUCCAGGGCUGCAGCGCCGUCACCGGGGAGAACCUGCUGCCGGGCAUCGACUGGCUCCUGGAUGACAUUUCCAGCCGCAUUUUCACAGCUGACUGAACCACUCCAGAUGCCCCCCACCUAGCAGUCCAGGUCCCUCAACCUUCACCAAACACUACCCAUGGGGGGUUGGGAGUCAGCCGGCCAAACUAACACUCCCCCUCCUCCACCCCAGCCUGCUGCUGCUACUGCUGCCCGCUGCUGCUCUGUGGCCACCCGGCUCCCAUGGCGGGAGGGCUGUGCCCUGGCUGUCUCUCUGGCUCCUGACCUGGCCUUUGGCUACCAUACCAAGAAGAGAGGGCUGGGCGGGGAGGAGCUGCUACUGCUGCUACCGAGGCUGUGGGCCUCAUCCUUCACUCAGUUGUGAAAUAAACCGCUCCUUGCC
rnacentral:lncRNA from 1 species